rnacentral:lncRNA from 1 species
GCAGGUGGCAAAUGAAGAUAUUUCUGUACCUGCUGUUGAACCGCUCCAAGCACAGUGGGAUUCCGGGUCUAAAAGAGUUGCAGUUGCUGGGUGGAAAUGAAAGUCAACAUUUCAGGGCCGGGUGCAUGGCUCAUGCCUAUAAUCCCAGCACUUUGGAAGGCCGAGGUGGGCAGAUCACUUGAGGCCAGGAGUUCGAGAUUAGCCUGGCCAACAUGGCGAAACCCCGUCUUUACUAAAAAUACACAAAUUAGCUGGGCAUGGUGGCUUACGCCUGUAGUCCCAGCUACUUGGCAGGCUGCGGCAUGAGAAUCGCUUGAACCAGUAGGUAGAGGUUGCAGUGAACCAUGAUCACGCUACUGCACUCCAGCCUGGGUGACAGAGUGAGACUCUUGUCAAAAAAAAAGAAAGCAAGAAAAUAAGAAAGCAAGAAAGAAGGAAAGAGAGAGAAAAAAGAAGGAAGGAAGGAAGGAAGGAAGGAAGGAAGGAAGGAAAGAAAGAAAGAAAGAAAGAAAGAAAGAAAGAAAGAAAGAAAGAAAGAGAGAGAAAGGAAGGAAGGAAGGAGAAAAGAAAGUCAACAGUCAACAUUUCAGAGAUCCCAAGAUACCAACACUGACCGUGCCUGCUGCUCUUCCAUCCUCCUCCACCCUGCGCCUUUGAGGUGGAAUUGCGUCCUCUGUGAGCAGGGCUUUGUUAAGAGAUCCUAAUUAAGGCCAGGCACAGUGGCUCAUGCCUGUAAUCCCAGCACUUUGGGAGGCUGAGGUCACCUGAGGUCAGGAGUUCAAGACCAGCCUGCCCAACAUGGUGAAACCCCAUCUCUACAAAAAUUAGCUGAGCAUGAUGGCAGGUGCCUGUAAUCCCAGCUACUUGGGAGGCUGAGGCAGGAGAAUUCUUUGAACCCAGGAGGAGGAGUUUGCAGUGAGCCGAGAUUGCACCACUGCACUCCAGCCUGGAUGACAGAGCGAGACUCUGUCUCAAAAAAAAAAAGAAAAGAAAAUUAGCUGGGUGUAGUGGCAGGUACCUGUGGUCCCAGUGACUCAGAGACUGAGGCAGGAGGAUCACCUGAGCCCAGGAGUAGAGGCUGCAGUGAGCUAUGUUUGUGCCACUGCACUCCAGCCUGUGCAACAGAGCAAGACGCUGUCUCAAAAAAUAUAUAUUUUUUUAAAUUUUC